UACUCGAGGCUGAAGAAACUUGAAACUGAAUCGGUUCUCAAGUUGUUGUAAAGAGAUUGUGAGUGAAUUUCCCAGCCUGAAGAUGUUUGAUCUUUCUGCAGGAAAGAAAACAAAUGGAAAUAGGUUGCUUCAGGGACAAGAAAACAAGAAUUAAGUAAUACAUAAAGAUUUGCCUGAGGGAAAAGAUUAUUACAGAGCCGAGAGUUGUGGUUUGGAUUGAGUUUAUGACAGAGUAAUCUAGAGAUUCUUGAUGUUGUAAUGGAAAAGAACUUGCAUCCACCAUCAUUAACUGCUUCGAGAGAAAAAAAUGUCACAAGAAAAAUAAAUCCCGACGAAUAAGGAGCUAAAACACGAAUGUGGUGGAGGAACUCUAAUCUCUUGGCGGUGUCCCAUGUAAAGGAACGAUGGUGGUCCUGGUGGAUGAAUAUCUUUAUAGUCUGGUACAAUACAUGUUGGAUGAUGGGUCUUCUGCAUCGUCUACAAACGUUUCCACCAUCGUCUAUGUCUCCUUCGUCACUACACCAAAGUUGAUUACGUUUCUGCCAUUGAUGUCGUUAUCAUAUAUGUCACAGUUACAUUAUCAUCGGAAAUAUGCCUUGACCUAUCUUAAAAGAUAGAUUAAACAACAUAGAUCAUAAUUAUAUGUAAGUUUUUGUGAAAAAACAAUCUGAAGAAUCAGAUUCUAAUUUAAAAACAAAUAGAAAGCUUAGAAGGAAGAAGACAAAGAAGAAAGAAAGAAGAAUAUAAAAUAAUAUAAAAUUAAUAUUUUAUUGUUUAAUUGGAUUUUAGUUAGAUUUCAAUUAUUAGAAGAAAUGAAACGUGUAUUGGAGAAAGAGAAAAUGUCUGAGUAGAAUAAACUGUCUUACAGUGUUAUUAAAAACUCGAAAUUGUCUGUCUUACAGUGUUAUUAAAAACUCGAAAUUGUCUUACAGCGUAAUUCUUUCAUUGCUUAAUUGGUUAGCUCUUUCUUAUGGUUGGUGCCUCUUCUUGACUUCUCUUGUCGUAGACAGAUAAUAGUAUAAAAUAGGCACUUGCCACUUGCGCGUUAAAAUGUACUUUCACCUACCCGUUGGAUCUAUUCAGUACUUUUGUCUACCACCAACUCUAUCCGUGUGCCAUACCAAAACAAAAACCUAAACCUAAAAAGCUACACUGAAACCAAUCUUGAUUAUCAUACGGGAGAAAAACAUUCCAAAGAUUAAGUUGAUUUAUUUUGUAAAGCGUUGUCGCAAUUAGUUAACUAAGCAUCUUUUAUUUUGAGGCUGAGAGUAGUUGUUGCUUGUCAAUGAGUAGGUGUGGCCAAUCAUAUUAUAUAUUUAGGGAAAACAUAAUUAUACCAAAUCGUUGGCUAGACUUAGAAUUUACUUAAAUAACUAUCUUACACUACUUAUGUUUUAUUCUUCUUCGUAAUCAAUCUCUUCCCCACCACAUUAAUCAUGAUGUGGAUUAAAUUUCGAUUUGGAAAAUCCAAAUAUUUGGUUUUUGGUAGGCCAACUCUAGGUCAGAGCCAGCAGGUUACAUCAGAUAACAAAUUCUUGUUCUCGCUUUGGCCAUUAAGGAGCAUUUAUGCAUUUUCACAUUAGGAUAUUGAUGUUAUGUCCAUUUUACGACACAACUUUAUCAGUUUUAGAACAAACAAUAGCCAUACUUAUUUAACUUUUAAAAGAAAAUUUUGUAAACCCAUCAGUUCUAUGACCAACUACUAACACUAUUAUUCACCGUAUGAUGUACAACAUCAAUCAUCAAAUCUAGAUAAACCCAAGUAGCAGUUUUUGGGCUUGUACACUGUACAAUGUAAAUAAUCUAUUAUUCAAAUCAUCUAUCAUCAAUUCUAGGAACAAAACCUCAAACCCAUGAUAACUAUUACAACAACUUUAAAAUUCCUUGGCCCUUUCUCACAAAAAAAUAAACUUUAAAAUUCCGAUACUUAAAUAAGUUCCCUACAAUAUAAUCAUAAGUUAUUCAGCUCUAGGGUAUUAUACUAUCCUGAGCAGAUAAGCCACUCUAUGCAUCACAUACAAUCGUAGAAAAAAUUCAGUUUAGAUUAGGCAUUUAGCAAGUGGAGGAAGAAUAAAAGAUGGACCAGUCAACGGAUUGCGUCGACAAGUCUUACACAAAUGUUGAUAAUAUGCGUUUGCGAAGGUUGUGGUUACAAGAAAGUAUCAUAUCCACACACACUCUCUUGUAUUGGUUGGUUGUAUAAAUAACAUUUUUAGAUUUUGGAAGAUUUACACGUUGGAGUAAAAAAAAAUUCACAAACUUCGGAGUGACUUUAUACUUUGUGAUGUAAUUUUGUUGGCAAAUAAAGAAUACGCCAAAAAAUAUUUCGCAAUAGUAACCCCAAAGCGACAUUACAUGUUUUGAACGCGUGCCUUUUGAAUGGUUCACGUUUAAGAAAAAUAAGAUUUUGUCAAGUAUAUGUGCAUAUUGACAUUUGAUAGCAAACAUUAUAGAUGUGUAGUUACUUAAUGUAUGCUCAUCAUGAAUAGCAAGGUAAGACCGAAUAAAUGACAAAUAUUUUACUUAAGACACACAAUAAGACACCAUAGCGUAGACCAAUAUAUCUUUACGACCAGAAAAAAGCGAUCUUACUUGCAUCACUAUCAAUCUAUUAGAAAGAAUGGUUAAAAUCAUUAGUUUAACAAACUUUAAAACGAUAAUAUUUUUUAAAGAGAAAAAGAAAAAAAAAAGAGAAAAAGACUAUUGCUCAGAUUCUUUCCACUAAAGAAAAAAAAGAAAAAAAGAAAAGAAAAGAAGUUUAAAAAAGUUGUGAAAGAAUUACUAAAAAUAUAAAAUUGUUUGCAUGUCUAUUGACCUGACCAUUACGAGCACCAUUAAGACCUCGUCCUUUCAAUUUAGUCUGCGCUUGACACGGCACUCUUAUGAUGUAACCACCAGUAAUCCCUUUGGACCAAACACACUGGUCACGUAGAAUCCAUCACGGCCCAAUCAUCAACCUUUUAUAAUUUGCAAGCUCAACGAUUUAAAAUCGACUGUCAUUCACCAAAGGCUGUCACUUUAACACUUCAGCACUCUGUUUUUAUUUCUCUCUCUGCUUUUCCUUAAUCUUUCAUCUCCUUCUCUGUUCUCCAAAGUUAAUACCCUUUUAUUCAACCCUCGAGCGAUCUUUGGACGAACUAACCUCGAAAGACUGAAUCUUUUUCUUGACCCACCAAGAAAAAGUUAGUCUUUGUUUCCCGGAAAAACCGAGAGUUUCAGUUUGUUCCUUUUAGGAUUUACUUAAGUUGAGGGAGUUAUGCUCAAGGUCUUAGCUGAAGUUCUCGCUUCUUAUCAAUCACUUCUUGUUUCUUUUGCUGAUUCAAAGUGGCUCUGCUGGGAAAGUCUUCAGCUUUAUGUUCUAGGGCUUUGAAACUGUUUGUGAUUGUGGAGAAAGAUAAGCUGAGAUCAUAGGGUAAGUCAAUUUUCUUACAGUUAUCUCUGCUUUGGUUUGGUUGGAGAACUUGUCCUAAAAGAACCUUUAUAUAUGUUUAUAAAACUUGCAGAAUUUAGAAACUUUCUUGUUUAGAUGGGAAUUGACACCACUCAACGUAUAGAGGAGAUGUCUUACUCCUUCAAGGUUGGUUCUAAGAAUCUCUUAUGUUGAUUUUUUUAAUUAUUUUUUGCCUUAAAGUUAUGUUAUUUUAAUAACAUGUUUGGUCUUGCUCUACUUCAGAUGCACGCUUCCAUCUGCUUAGCCUUGAAGAACUUAGUUGAUAGAGUUAUGAAAAUCUUUCCUGAAAUAGAAGCUGCUAGACCUGGAUCUACCACAGGGAUACAGACUCUAUGUUUGCUCAACAAAGCUCUGGAGAAAGCUAAGCUGCUUCUUCAGUACUGCAGUGAAUCCAGUAAACUCUACAUGGUUUGUCAACCUCCUCUCACAUUUUAUGUACUUUUUUAUCACUCCAUGUGAUUAAUAUGUUUUGCUUCAAUCUUCAGGCAGUAACAGGGGAUGCUAUACUCUCAAGAGGUUCUAGAUCCAAAAAGUUAUUAGAACAAAGCUUAUCUGAUAUCAGAACCAUGGUACCUACUGCUUUGUCUAUCAAGGUUUGUAACCAAACUCUGUUUUAACUUUUUGUUAAAUUCGGGUUUAUCAUGAGCUUCCAACUUAAAACUAAUUGGUAAUAAGUGGAUUGGUCCUAACCGUUUAUGUAUUAUUCAUAUCCCAGCUAAACUUCGAUGUAGGAGCUUGCAGUCUCAAUUACUUUUCUUGUUUUGUGGAAAAUGCUGAAUCAAUUGUUGCUUGCAGAUACUUGAGGUACUCCAAGAUCUUAAGUCAACAGAGUUGUCUCUAGAAUCAUCUGAAGAAGAAGCUGGGAAAGCUAUCAGGGAACUGAUGAGACGGAGCACAUCUUCUUCUGUGUCUUCUGAUGAGAUAAGAGAUUUUCAUUUUGCAGCACUAAAGCUCCAGCUUUCAACACCUGAAGCCGUUGUGGUAGAGAGAAGAUCAUUAAAGUCGCUUUAUGGGAAGCUAGGAGAGUGUGAAGGGAACAAGAGACAGAUUCUGAAGUAUCUCCUCUGCCUCCUGAAGAAGCAUGAGAAAAUCAUUUGGAGUGAUCACAAAGAGAUCUCUCUCAGACAGCAACACUCUGUGGAUGAUUCUGUGUCUGCUAGUGUUGCAGAAGCCGGGUGUUCUGAGGAACACAACAGUGAUACACUUCCUGAACAGUUCAAGUGUCCUCUCUCUCUUACUGUCAUGUAUGAUCCUGUCAUCAUCUCCUCAGGCCACACGUUUGAGAGGAUGUCGAUUCAGAGAUGGUUUGAUUUAGGUAAUGACACAUGUCCUAUAUCAAAAAGGGUACUAGAUGAUUUCACAUUGCAGUCCAAUGUAGCGAUGAAGGAUCAGAUAUCAAAAUGGUGCAAGAAGCACGGUCUUGAUGUUCAAGAUCCAGCAAUGAAGCACACAGAGAACGCUUCACAGAAUCUUGACUUCUCCAUUGCUAGUUUUACAAGUUCUCUGUACAAUAUACCAGACCUCAGCUGCUUCACGAGUAGGGACUUCAGCUCUAGCUUCUCCACUGAUUCGCCAUCAUACUCUAGGAUGUCCAGGGGUGGCUACUUCAUGCCAAUGCAGACGAUAGCUUCUGAGUCAGGAACUGAAGUCACAGAUUCUACUCAUCACAGUGAGGUGGAGAUAGAGCCUUUGUGUGAACUCAGUAAGCUUCCAUGGGAUGCUCAGGUCAAGGAUGUUCAAGAUGUGAGAAGUCUUUUUGAGAAAGAUUCUAGGGCUGUUCGGUCUGUGUCACCUAGUAAGUUUCUUGAGCCGCUUAUCACAUUCUUGAAGAACGCUCAUGAGAGAAAUGGCACUGAGGGAGACGUAGUAAAGUGUGGUUUGGAUUUGUUAUUGACUUUCCUCAGUGGAAACAGGAAGGCUAUAGAGAGCUUGAAAGAAGACUUGUUUGAAAUGUUGUGUGUCUUUCUUGGGUCAGAGUUAGUAGCUGAAGAAGCUCUAAACGUACUUGAGGUUCUCUCUAAUCAUCCACAGAGUCUCUCAAAGAUAACUUCAACAAGCUCUCUCUCUUCCCUUUUGAAGAUAGCUGAGUCUGGAGCACAACAUCUUCAAGAACAAGCUAUGAUCACACUCAAGAACCUCUCUGCAACCAAUGAGAUUUGUGCGGAAAUGGUCUCUCUCGGUUUUGUCCAUAAGCUCACAUCUUUCUUGCAACAAAACGUUUUCAGCAAACAUUCAAUCAUCAUGCUGAAGAAUCUCUGCAACACUGAGAAAGGUAGGGUUUGUGUAACUGAGACCCCUGGUUGUUUAGCUUCAAUAGCUGAUUUACUGGACUCAAAUGUUUCUGAGGAGCUAGAGAAUGCGAUCUCCAUCCUCCUCCAGCUCUGCGUGGAGAAGAUAGACUAUUGUUAUCUUUUGGUGAGAGAAGGCCUUAAUAUUUACUCAUCUCUUCUCUUGAUAUCCAACAAUGGAACCGAGGAAGCUAAGGUGGGUGCAUCUGAGUUGCUUAGAGCUCUUGAAGAAGUAGUAGAAGAAGAAGAAGAAUCCUCCACACCACAAGAAGAAGCAACUACUUCACAGGUUGUUGUUGCUCCAGUUACGUAUCAGGAACCUGUAGUAACAGCACCAUCUCCAAAGAAGUCUGGUCUUUUUGGGCUCAGAUUCAUUCUCAAGAAGAAGAAGAUAAAAUCAUAAGUUUUGUUAACUUACUUUUUUAAGAAGCUAUCAUUUUUUUUGUGUGGUUCUCUCUUUGUUGACUUAGGGUUUGUAUAUGUUGAUACCUGUCUAAAGAGCUUCCAUUAAUGUUAAGUGUAGUUGUAGUUUGAUAGGGGGAAUGUAUUGUGAGGAGAAUAGUUUGUAAUUUGUAAAUCAUUAAAUAAUAAAAGUUGGGUGAGAAAUAAAUUUAUUUUUGAGAUAUUUUAUAUACUACAAAAAAAAAUUAUAUACUACAAUGUACAACAAGGAAUUGUUGUGACCACAAGAGUUUUUUUUCUUUCUUCAACACAUACAUAUCCCCUAGAAUAAAUUUCCUUAUACAGUAGAUGGAAAGAUCUUUGGAUUGGUUUCCUCUGUCUUUCUGGUUCAGAUUUCAGAUAACAUAGAGAAAAUGAUAAGACAAAAAAAAUUGCCAUUUUUUCAGUGAGCCUUAUCCCUAAUUUGUUACUCGAGGCUGAAGAAACUUGAAACUGAAUCGGUUCUCAAGUUGUUGUAAAGAGAUUGUGAGUGAAUUUCCCAGCCUGAAGAUGUUUGAUCUUUCUGCAGGAAAGAAAACAAAUGGAAAUAGGUUGCUUCAGGGACAAGAAAACAAGAAUUAAGUAAUACAUAAAGAUUUGCCUGAGGGAAAAGAUUAUUACAGAGCCGAGAGUUGUGGUUUGGAUUGAGUUUAUGACAGAGUAAUCUAGAGAUU
rnacentral:lncRNA from 1 species